CCCUUAGAUGUUCUGGGCUGCACGCGCGCUACACUGAUACUUUCAGCGAGUCCACCACCUUGCCUGGGAGGGUGGGGUAACCUCUGGAAAGUGCAUCGUGAUGGGGAUCGAUUAUUGCAAUUAUUAAUCUUCAACGAGGAAUGCCUAGUAAGCGCAAGUCAUCAGCUUGCGUUGAUUACGUCCCUGCCCUUUGUACACACCGCCCGUCGCUCCUACCGAUUGAAUGGUCCGGUGAAGCGUUCGGACCGUGGCCUUUGGACGGUUCGCCGUCUGUUGGCUGCGGGAAGUUCGUUAAACCUUAUCAUUUAGAGGAAGGAGAAGUCGUAACA
rnacentral:rRNA from 1 species